rnacentral:rRNA from 1 species
GAUAAGGUUAAGUGAAUAAGGGCGCACGGUGGAUGCCUUGGCACUAGGAGCCGAUGAAGGACGGGACUAACACCGAUAUGCUUUGGGGAGCUGUACGUAAGCUAUGAUCCAGAGAUUUCCGAAUGGGGGAACCCAACAUCUUUAAUAGGAUGUUACGAUUGUGUGAAUACAUAGCACAUUCGAGGUAGACGCAGAGAACUGAAACAUCUAAGUA